UACUAUAUUAAGAUUAAAAUUUAAAUACUUUAAUAUUAUUAGAUAUGUUCUUAAAAUUAAAAGAUUUGGCGGUAAUUUAGUCUAACUAGGGGAACCUGUUUUUUAAUCGAUACACCACGAUUUAUCUUACUUUUAAAUGAGUUUGUAUACCAUCAUUUAAGAUAAUUUUUAAAGAAUUUAUUAAAAUUUAGAUUAAUAAAAUAAGUUAGAUCAAGGUGCAGCUAUGAAAAAGUUAAAAUGGGUUACAAUAAUUUAUAAUUAGAUGGAUAAUUUUUYGAAUUAAUAAUUUAMAGGUGGAUUUACGUUGUAAUUUUAUUUUAAUAUGAUAAAAAGAAAUAAGCUCUAAAUUAU
rnacentral:rRNA from 1 species